rnacentral:rRNA from 1 species
CCUACGGGGGGCAGCAGUGGGGAAUAUUGCACAAUGGACGGAAGUCUGAUGCAGCAACGCCGCGUGCGGGAUGAAGGCCUUCGGGUUGUAAACCGCUUUCACCUCCGGCGAAUUUGACGGUAGGAGGAGAAGAAGCACCGGCUAACUACGUGCCAGCAGCCGCGGUGAUACGUAGGGUGCGAGCGUUGUCCGGAUUUAUUGGGCGUAAAGAGCUCGUAGGUGGUUGUUUGCGUCGGAAGUGAAAACCUAGCGCUUAACGGUGGGCUUGCUUUCGAUACGGGAUGACUUGAGGGAUGUAGGGGAGAACGGAAUUCCUGGUGGAGCGGUGGAAUGCGCAGAUAUCAGGAGGAACACCGGUGGCGAAGGCGGUUCUCUGGACAUUUCCUGACGCUGAGGAGCGAAAGCGUGGGGAGCAAACAGGCUUAGAUACCCCAGUAGUC